rnacentral:rRNA from 1 species
GGCUACCACAUCCAAGGAAGGCAGCAGGCGCGCAAAUUACCCAAUCCCGACACGGGGAGGUAGUGACAAUAAAUACUGAUACGGGGCUCUUUUGGGUCUCGUAAUUGGAAUGAGUACAAUCUAAAUCCCUUAACGAGGAACAAUUGGAGGGCAAGUCUGGUGCCAGCAGCCGCGGUAAUUCCAGCUCCAAUAGCGUAUAUUAAAGUUGUUGCAGUUAAAAAGCUCGUAGUUGAACCUUGGGUCUGGCUGGCCGGUCCGCCUCACCGCGAGUACUGGUCCGGCUGGACCUUUCCUUCUGGGGAACCUCAUGGCCUUCACUGGCUGUGGGGGGGAACCAGGACUUUUACUGUGAAAAAAUUAGAGUGUUCAAAGCAGGCCUUUGCUCGAAUACAUUAGCAUGGAAUAAUAGAAUAGGACGUGCGGUUCUAUUUUGUUGGUUUCUAGGACCGCCGUAAUGAUUAAUAGGGACAGUCGGGGGCGUCAGU